UACGAAGGGGGCUAGCGUUGCUCGGAAUGACUGGGCGUAAAGGGCGCGUAGGCGGCUUGCACCGUCAGAUGUGAAAUUCCUGGGCUUAACCUGGGGGCUGCAUUUGAUACGUGUGGGCUUGAGUGCGGAAGAGGGUCGUGGAAUUCCCAGUGUAGAGGUGAAAUUCGUAGAUAUUCGGAAGAACACCAGUGGCGAAGGCGGCUCACUGGUCCGGUACUGACGCUGAGGUGCGAAAGCGUGGGGAGCAAACAGG
rnacentral:rRNA from 1 species